ACCUCUGUGGUGUAAUGGUAACACGCUUCUCCUGUAUAUAUGAAACGCGGGUUCAAUUCCCGUCUGAGGUC